rnacentral:rRNA from 1 species
AACAAACGCUGGCGGCGUGCCUAAUACAUGCAAGUCGAACGGGGAAAGCUUUCGGGUGAGUACUAGUGGCGCACGGGUGAGUAACGCGUGGAUAAUCUGCCCUCGAAUGGGGAAUAACUAGUCGAAAGAUUAGCUAAUACCGCAUAAGACCACGACUACUGAGGUAGUUGGGGUCAAAGGAGCAAUUCGUUUGAGGAUGAGUCCGCGUAAGAUUAGCUAGUUGGUGAGGUAAUGGCUCACCAAGGCGAUGAUCUUUAACUGGUCUGAGAGGAUGACCAGUCACACUGGAACUGAGACACGGUCCAGACUCCUACGGGAGGCAGCAGUAGGGAAUAUUGGACAAUGGGGGCAACCCUGAUCCAGCGACGCCGCGUGAGCGAUGAAGGCCUUCGGGUCGUAAAGCUCUGUUGUAAGGGAAAAAGUUCUGAUUGUACCUUACGAGAAAGGAUCGGUUAACUUCGUGCCAGCCGCCGCGGUAA